rnacentral:lncRNA from 1 species
CACCCAUUUACAAGUUUCUGUACAUCAAAAUGUAUCACAUGAAAUCCAAAAUGGUAAACUACUAUACUCUCGUGUCAGCUAGCUAGGCUGCAGGGCUCUUGCCACGGUCCUCGGCCACACCGCUCGCACUGGAACCUGUAUGGUUAGUGGUAUGAGAACUACUGAAAGUUCCCAGUGGGUUUGACCGCCGAAUUCGCCGACUCACCCACUAGGUCUACUCAGACAUGUGUAGGCAAGAAAGUAAACAGAUAGUAACCAACUAUAAUAUGUAACUACUACAAUGCCUGUACAAAGCUAAAAGAAUAAUAUAUAAAACUGUAAAUAUGCAUGCAUGCUUUUACUGAAUUUACCCAAUCUUUUGGUUAACCCUUUUGGUUAACAAUAACUCACUGACACUAUCCCAAAUAUCGGGGAGACGCAACCUGCANAAACUAUACAUGAUGCUAAUAUGCCUGAACAAUAAGCAGAAAUAUGCUCAACAUUAAAUAAAUGCAGAUUAUGCAAAUUCUUGGUUCUUUUCACUUUACUCUUUGUUCUUUGUUCUUUGUUCUUUGCACUUUGUUCUUUACUCUUUGUUCUUUAAUCUCAAGGCUAACUCGGGGGUAUCGCCACAUUGACUUGCUUCACAUUAAGUCCAUCAUCGCAGGAACUCACCCGCUAGGACCGUCCUUCGGGUUUACUCCAACCCGUGAUGCAUAACUCCGGAGCGCAUCGCCCGAGGGGGAGCGACCGCCCUCGAGCACGGAACUCAUAGCAAGUAUGAUCAUAUCCUUAACUCAAAGGAUUUAUAAGUUCAAUCUUGACUUUACACUAGCUCUAGUGUUCUUUCAUCACUUUUGUUGCCACUCUAGCAAUCAUUGUUCUUUGCCAUUCAUUACUCUUGCUAACUCUAGCAAUUAUGUUCUUUACAUUCUUUACUUUUGGCUGCCUCUAGCACUUCAUGUUCUUUACUCCCCACAUUACUUUAACUUUAAACAUUGUCAUUUUCAUCAUUCUUUACAAUACAUUGGUUCUUUAGCUCACACUAUCUCUAGUGUCAUUUCACUUUAACUUUAUCGAAUGUCACUCGAACUAUGUCAUUGUGUCACUCCGAACUAUGUCAUUGUGUCACUCUGUUCUUUUGCUCACUUUGGGUACUCACUUUUCUCUCAUGCAUACACCUAGGAUUUUUGACGUUCACAUAGUUCUCAUUCAUCAUAUUAUGGAAGUUGUACUCACAAUCAUGCAUCAUCACAUUUUCAUCAUUAUUUUACCCUAAAAUGCAUGCAACAAUAUAUAUACACAUGCUCAAAUGAAUAACACAUUAAGAAUAAAGAGAAGUUCAAUGAGUUUGAGAAGCACCACCCACCUUGUAGGUCUCUUUAGGUGCUCCGACGAUUUUCUUGGGAUUUUUAGGCUUCUCGUUCUUUACCUGCGGCAAAACGAAGCCCUAAUAGGUCAUUUUGCUCAUAUCUUUUCAUUGGUUCUUCGGAAUGUUAAUCCGAGCGCACAAACGCGUCGGAAAUACCCCCAAUUAGGUUUCUAGAGGGUCAAUUACACUUAGAAAUCCCCAUGAGCAAAAGCUCCAAUUUGGUGCCCUAGCUCCAUAGCAUUCAUCAAACCUAGGGUUUGAUCUCAAAGAGAAGCAAAAGUAGCUUCAUUCUACUCUAAAGAGUCCAUCUAAACCAUCUUUAAUUCAAUCCAAACCCUAGUUUGGAUUCUACCAUGAGAGGGGAUGAAGCUCUCCUUCAAGCUUCACCUCCAACACUAAACUCAUGGUCUUGAUCUCAAAUGAAGCAAAAGAAAAUCUUCGAAGACUCAAAAUGCUCCAUAAAAACCAUUUCUAGGUCACAUAGUUCCCAUUUUAGGGUUUUAGCAUGAUUAGGGUUGAAAACUUACCUUGUAAGCUUUCUCUUUCCAAGCUAGAGAUGAGGGAGAAGGAGUUUCUUCACUCCUUCUUCUUCUUCUCCACUUUCUUCUUCUUCUUUUCCUUCCUUUUCCUUCUCUUCUUCUUCUCCUUCUUGUCUUCUAGAGAGAGAAAGAGAAAUGAGAGGGGAUGAGAAGGUGAGAAUGGGAGAAAUACCUCACUUACCCCAAUACAUAGCUCAUUGGGUUGCGAAAUUCCAGCUAAACCCCUCAACUUUUACUCUUUCACACAGCCUGGACUGGGCUGUUCGCGCAGGCGGGGACCGGUCUCUCCUUCAGGGACCGGUUCCCGAAGGCUCUCCCCGCGUAGCCAGAGCUGCUGCGCGCAGGGCAACCUGUCACGUCCCGCUAUCCCCCAUUUGGUCGAUUCGGGCCCGUACACAGACGCCGAACGGACAGAACCUACUCUAUCCGCCCAAGGCUCAACAACAACGAGUACAUGUAUAAAAAAAUAAACAACUCUCAGGAUAACAUUUCAAUAUACAUGGCUUGCACGAGGGCAAGCAACAAACACAAGUGAUAGUAAGCUAGCUAUACUGAAAAUUCACUAUAAUUUAAAACUUUUAAACUGAACAUACAUAACUGAAUAACUGAAACAUUUAAUUUUUUUACAUACUCUCUACACACCCAUUUACAAGUUUCUGUACAUCAAAAUGUAUCACAUGAAAUCCAAAAUGGUAAACUACUAUACUCUCGUGUCAGCUAGCUAGGCUGCAGGGCUCUUGCCACGGUCCUCGGCCACACCGCUCGCACUGGAACCUGUAUGGUUAGUGGUAUGAGAACUACUGAAAGUUCCCAGUGGGUUCGACCGCCGAAUUCGCCGACUCACCCACUAGGUCUACUCAGACAUGUGUAGGCAAGAAAGUAAACAGAUAGUAACCAACUAUAA